UGUGGCUCAGCGGUAGAGCGUGCGCCUUGCACGUGUGCAGCCCUGGGUUCAAUCUCAGCA
rnacentral:tRNA from 1 species